rnacentral:rRNA from 1 species
AACUAACAAGGAUUCCCCUAGUAACGGCGAGUGAACCGGGAAGAGCUCAAAUUUGAAAUCUGGCGUGCUCAGUGCGUCCGAGUUGUAAUCUAUAGAGGCGUUUUCCGUGCCGGACUGUGUCCAAGUCCCUUGGAACAGGGUAUCAAAGAGGGUGAUAAUCCCGUACUUGACACAAUGACCGGUGCUCUGUGAUACGUCUUCUACGAGUCGAGUUGUUUGGGAAUGCAGCUCAAAAUGGGUGGUGAGUUCCAUCUAAAGCUAAAUAUUGGCGAGAGACCGAUAGCGAACAAGUACCGUGAGGGAAAGAUGAAAAGCACUUUGGAAAGAGAGUUAAACAGUACGUGAAAUUGUUGAAAGGGAAACGAUUGAAGUCAGUCGUGACUGAGAGGCUCAGCCGGUUCUGCCGGUGUAUUCCCCUCAGUCGGGUCAACAUCAGUUUUGUUCGGUGGAUAAGGGCAGUUGGAAGGUGGCACCCUCGGGUGUGUUAUAGCCAGCUGUCGCAUACAUCGGAUGAGACUGAGGAAUGCAGCUCGCCUUUAUGGCCGGGGUUCGCCCACGUU